rnacentral:rRNA from 1 species
AUUGAACGCUGGCGGCAGGCCUAACACAUGCAAGUCGAGGGGUAUUGGUUUUCGGACCAAGAGACCGGCGCACGGGUGCGUAACGCGUAUGCAAUCUACCUUUUGCAGAGGGAUAGCCCAGAGAAAUUUGGAUUAAUACCUCAUAGUAUAGUACUUUGGCAUCAAGGAACUAUUAAAGUCACAAACGGCAAAAGAUGAGCAUGCGUCCAUUAGCUAGUUGGUAAGGUAACGGCUUACCAAGGCUACGAUGGGUAGGGUCCUGAGAGGGGAGAUCCCCCCACACUGGUACUGAGACACGGACCAGACUCCUAC